rnacentral:rRNA from 1 species
CCUACGGGAGGCAGCAGUGAGGAAUAUUGGUCAAUGGACGAGAGUCUGAACCAGCCAAGUAGCGUGAAGGAUGACUGCCCUAUGGGUUGUAAACUUCUUUUAUAUGGGAAUAAAAUGUUCCACGUGUGGGAUUUUGUAUGUACCAUAUGAAUAAGGAUCGGCUAACUCCGUGCCAGCAGCCGCGGUAAUACGGAGGAUCCGAGCGUUAUCCGGAUUUAUUGGGUUUAAAGGGAGCGUAGGUGGAUUGUUAAGUCAGUUGUGAAAGUUUGCGGCUUAACCGUAAAAUUGCAGUUGAAACUGGCAGUCUUGAGUACAGGAGAGGUGGGCGGAAUUCGUGGUGUAGCGGUGAAAUGCGUAGAUAUCACGAAGAACUCCGAUUGCGAAGGCAGUUCACUGGACUGCAACUGACACUGAGGCUCGAAAGUGUGGGUAUCAAACAGGAUUAGAUACCCUUGUAGUC